UAGGGAAUCUUCGGCAAUGGGGGCAACCCUGACCGAGCAACGCCGCGUGAGUGAAGAAGGUUUUCGGAUCGUAAAGCUCUGUUGUAAGAGAAGAACGUGUGUGAGAGUGGAAAGUUCACACAGUGACGGUAACUUACCAGAAAGGGACGGCUAACUACGUGCCAGCAGCCGCGGUAAUACGUAGGUCCCGAGCGUUGUCCGGAUUUAUUGGGCGUAAAGCGAGCGCAGGCGGUUUAAUUAGUCUGAAGUUAAAGGCAGUGGCUUAACCAUUUGUCGCUUUGGAAACUGUUAAACUUGAGUGAAGAAGGGGGGAGUGGAAUUCCAUGUGUAGCGGUGAAAUGCGUAGAUAUAUGGAGGAACACCGGUGGCGAAAGCGGCUCUCUGGUCUGUAACUGACGCUGAGGCUCGAAAGCGUGGGGAGCAAACAGG
rnacentral:rRNA from 1 species